AAGUCGUAACAAGGUUUCCGUAGGUGAACCUGCGGAAGGAUCAUUCAUAAUAAGAGUGUUUAUGGCACUCUUCAAAAAAUCCAUACCCACCUUGUGUGCAACGUAAAAAAAGAGAGAGUGUGUAAGAAAAAGUUUAACGAGCAAUCGUCCAGGCUUUUUUCUUUACUGCUUUCUUCUUUUUAAACUAAUAUACACUUUUCUAUAAUACGAUUGUCUGAAGAUGUUAGAGAAUUAACUAAAUUCUAAAACAUAACUUUCAACAACGGAUCUCUUGGCUCUC
rnacentral:misc_RNA from 1 species